GAAUAUUGGACAAUGGGGGAAACCCUGAUCCAGCAAUCCCGCGUGCGUGAAGAAGGCCUUAGGGUUGUAAAGCGCUUUCACCUGUGAUGAUGAUGACAGUAGCAGGAGAAGAAGCCCCGGCUAACGCCGUGCCAGCAGCCGCGGUAAUACGGAGGGGGCUAGCGUUGUUCGGAAUCACUGGGCGUAAAGGGCGUGUAGGCGGCGGAUUUAGUUAGGCGUGAAAGCCCCGGGCUCAACCUGGGAACUGCGCUUAAUACUGGUCUGCUAGAGUCCGGGAGAGGCGAGUGGAAUAUCCAGUGUAGAGGUGAAAUUCGUAGAUAUUGGAUGGAACACCGAUGGCGAAGGCAGCUCGCUGGACCGGAACUGACGCUGAGGCGCGAAAGCGUGGGGAGCAAACAGG
rnacentral:rRNA from 1 species